UACGGAGGGUGCAAGCGUUGCUCGGAAUUACUGGGCGUAAAGGGCGUGUAGGCGGUUUCGUAUGUCUGGCGUGAAAGCCCCGGGCUCACCUCGGGAAGUGCGUUGGAAACUGCGAGACUAGAGUCCCGGAGAGGGAGGUGGAAUUCCAGGUGUAGCGGUGAAAUGCGUAGAUAUCUGGAAGAACACCGGUGGCGAAGGCGGCCUCCUGGACGG
rnacentral:rRNA from 1 species